rnacentral:rRNA from 1 species
UACAGAGGGUGCAAGCGUUGUUCGGAAUUAUUGGGCGUAAAGGGCGCGUAGGCGGUGCGGUAAGUCUGCAGUGAAAUCUCUGGGCUCAACUCAGAGUCUGCUGUAGAAACUGCCGUGCUUGAGUGUGGGAGAGGUGAGUGGAAUUCCCGGUGUAGCGGUGAAAUGCGUAGAGAUCGGGAGGAACACCUGUGGCGAAGGCGGCCGGCUGGGGGUGCCCUGACGCUGAGGCGCGAAAGCGUGGGGAGCGAACCGG